AUAAAGUUUUAUUCUAGCUUUAAGGCUUGAUAGACCAAGGGUUCAUAUGUAAGAAGUUUCGUGUUUGAGGUUAAUUUUUAAGAAGUUAAUAUGUUGAAUAAAUUCACAGUGUCUAGUAUUGGUUAUGGGUAAAUGCCUGAGUCAGUUAUUGGUUUUAGUAGUAACAAAGCUUGUGCCAGCAGUUGCGGUUAUUCAGGUACUGCAAUCAAUUUCGUGUAAAAUAGCAAUGAGAUUUAUAGUGUUUCAUCAUAAACUGAAGGUUCUUAGGUGAAAUUUUAACCUUCAUUUCAAUGAUUAGGGGUUUUAUGUUGUUAAACCUAUUUCUAUAGACUAGGAUUAGAUACCCUAUUAUUGUAGGCUUGAAUUAGUUUAUUUGAUUAGUAUUAGUUAUGUGCUUGAAAAUUAAAGAUUUUGGCGGUAUUUUAGUCCAUUCAGAGGAACCUGUCCUGUAAUUGAUACCCCACGAACUAAUUUACCUUAGCUAGAUAGUUUGUAUACCGUCGUACUAGGAGAAUUCUACAAGGAGUAAAAUUCUCGGGAUUUAUAGUAUAAAGUAUAUCAGAUCAAGGUGCAGCUGAUAUUAAGGAAGAGAUGGGUUACAUUAAUUUUACUUAUACGGAUAGAUUAUGUAAGAGUUAUUUUGAAGGAGGAUUUGAUAGUAAUACUCAAUAGGUUUUGGUUAUGAUUGUGGCUCUAAAAUAUGCACAUAUCGCCCGUCGCUUUCAAUUAAGUUGAAAUAAGUCGUAACAAAGUAGGCGUACUGGAAAGUGAGCCUAGAACGAC
rnacentral:ncRNA from 1 species